rnacentral:tRNA from 1 species
GGGCGGUUAGCUCAGCUGGGAGAGCGUCUGGUUUACACCCAGAAGGUCGGGGGAUCGUACCCCUCACCGCCCA